UUCGGUAUGAAGUUCCCCGCUGGGUUAGUGGCGGACGGUGAGUAACGCGUGGUAACCUGCCGUAUGCAGGGGGAUAACAGUUAGAAAUGACUGCUAAUACCGCAUAAGCGCACAGUAUCGCAUCGAUACAGUGUGAAAAACGAUAGUGGCAUACGAUGGACCCGCGUCUGAUUAGCUAGUUGGUGGGGUAACGGCCCACCAAGGCGACGAUCAGUAGCCGGCCUGAGAGGGUGAACGGCCACAUUGGAACUGAGACACGGUCCAAACUCCUACGGGAGGCAGCAGUGGGGGAUAUUGCACAAUGGGGGAAACCCUGAUGCAGCGACGCCGCGUGAGUGAAGAAGUAUUUCGGUAUGUAAAGCUCUAUCAGCAGGAAAGAUAAUGACGGUACCUGACUAAGAAGCACCGGCUAAAUACGUG
rnacentral:rRNA from 1 species